CAGAAGGUCAAUUCAGCUAAAUGCAAGGCUAUGAAUGUUCUAUAUUGUACCUUGGAUGCAAAUGAGUUUAACCAAAUUUUCACAUAUAAUUUAGCAAAAAAAAUUGUGAUAGAUUUGAAGUAAUCCAUGAAGGCACAAAUCAAGUCAAAGAAUCAAAAAUUAAUAUACUUGUGCACCAAUAUAAAUUUUUCAAAAUAAAACCU
rnacentral:lncRNA from 1 species